rnacentral:rRNA from 1 species
CUUGCUGGGUGGAUCAGUGGCGAACGGGUGAGUAACACGUGAGCAACCUGCCCCUGACUCUGGGAUAAGCGCUGGAAACGGCGUCUAAUACUGGAUAUGUGACGUGACCGCAUGGUCUGCGUCUGGAAAGAAUUUCGGUUGGGGAUGGGCUCGCGGCCUAUCAGCUUGUUGGUGAGGUAAUGGCUCACCAAGGCGUCGACGGGUAGCCGGCCUGAGAGGGUGACCGGCCACACUGGGACUGAGACACGGCCCAGACUCCUACGGGAGGCAGCAGUGGGGAAUAUUGCACAAUGGGCGCAAGCCUGAUGCAGCAACGCCGCGUGAGGGAUGACGGCCUUCGGGUUGUAAACCUCUUUUAGCAGGGAAGAAGCGAAAGUGACGGUACCUGCAGAAAAAGCGCCGGCUAACUACGUGCCAGCAGCCGCGGUAAUACGUAGGGCGCAAGCGUUAUCCGGAAUUAUUGGGCGUAAAGAGCUCGUAGGCGGUUUGUCGCGUCUGCUGUGAAAUCCCGAGGCUCAACCUCGGGCCUGCAGUGGGUACGGGCAGACUAGAGUGCGGUAGGGGAGAUUGGAAUUCCUGGUGUAGCGGUGGAAUGCGCAGAUAUCAGGAGGAACACCGAUGGCGAAGGCAGAUCUCUGGGCCGUAACUGACGCUGAGGAGCGAAAGGGUGGGGAGCAAACAGGCUUAGAUACCCUGGUA